UUCUGCAGACAAUCAGUUAGCAAAGCUGUUAGGUAAACUUGCUCCUUCACUGUUGAAAAAAUAAAUAUUCAUGAAUCUUGCAGCCACAUUUUUCCAUGUUUUAUAAUGGAGUCAAAGACGAUGAAGGAUUUUGGAGCUAAUAAUUUAACCAGAGAGAUAAGGAUGGGGGCCCAGAUCCUGAAAACAGUGGGAGCUGGGAUCCUAAAUUGUACUGGAUCUCGGAGCUCACAGGGAAAACCACCCUCACCCACCCUGCAGGAGGAGCACAAUGGCACAAUGGCACCCUCUGUUGCCCUGCGCGCUGCUCCCACGUGGAUGUAUGAACUCCUGAAAGUAUCCAUUCCCCAUCUCCAAAUCUCAUCUCUUCCCGCCGAGCUUCCUUGUUUGUUUGGAGUUAUCCUGUUAUUUCCAUUUGUAAUAAAACCCGUCUUGUUCUUUUUGUGCUGAGUGGAGAAACAUCGAGAGGAUUGUCACGCUCAUUUCAUGAACAGUUGGCCUCCUGUCCCCAUUUUGUCCUCCCUAAGUGGCAGCUCCUUGCAACAGUUGUAUUAACAACUGAGCUCAGCCCUGCAAAGUGGUGGGCAUUUCCAGCGUUAACUGGAAAGCAAUUAGUCUUGAUGAGAUUGGGCUGUCCAACUCUCAGACAAUUAAUUAAAUUACAGCUUGUCUUUCAUUUGGUUGAACAAAAACUUGAUUCAUUAAUUAAAAUACACUGUGAAUCUGAUUUUUUGCUCUGAUCCUCUGUGUGUUCGUAAGCAAACAACAAGUUCCUUUUAGGAACCAAAACAAAAUUCCUUCUGGAGCAUGACAAGUUUUCACUCCUAAUCACCUUGUAUCCAUGUGAACACACUUUAAUUGCUCAUUAACACAAAGUUAGCGGGCUGACACACAACUAGCUGCUUCUUUUGGACUUCUCUAACAGUAACUUUUUUGUGUGUGUCUCGUAAGGAGACCAGACGUUUCUCAGAAUCAAUCAACUUUUUCUGUGUUUUACUUCCAUGCCAUGCUGUAAAGGAUUGUACAGUUGCCUCGCUGUAAUGUUAUUAUUCAGGACUGAUUUUACUGUGAUGGCAUAAGAGGAAUUAGACAUGUCCAUUCUAUUGUUGUUGAUAUGACUGUGCCUAUUUUCCCCAUAUGCAGUCUGAAACAAUUAUCAGAAGCAGUACAUAGAACUCAUCACUUAGAAAUGAUUACUUAGAAGUCAUUAGAUGUUGUUAAUGUGAACAGAUUUUUGUAAAAGCCACGUUUUGUGCAGGACUGGUUAUUUUUAGAUAAAAAUAUUUAAACUGAAGAAGAGAUUUCAAUUUUUCAAAUUGUGAUGUACAGGAACUCAGUGAGAAUUAAAAAUCUGACAUAAGAUCCAGUAUAAAAAAAGUAUUUCAGUGCAUCUAUUUGACAAGCACAAAUGGUCUGUAAGUAUGUUGAAUUAUAACAAAAAAUGAGUUGGAAAUAUUUGGGAUACUCUGUCUGUUCAGUUUUAAGCAGCCUUACCUACUGUGCCAAUGACUUACAGUCAGGUUUGGAUUCUGUGUGCUCAUCAUCAGCUUUCAGGAUCCAUGCUACAUUUGCCUCCUUUGAUUCUGCAAAGAUUUUGUCAAGAAAUUGAACUGAAUUUUAUCCCAGGCCUCACAAAUACAACCAUGUUUGACAGUUGUGGGAAAGAAGGGGGUUCGAGCUGCAUCUAUUGUUUGUUCAGAAAUAUCUAAUUUCAUAAGUCAAAUUACUCGUAAUGAUUCCAUACUAAUUUGUUAUUUGAAUCCUUUGCAGGCCUACUUUCUCCCAGAUGAUGGGAGACAAGAGGAAUUGCCUAAGCUUUUGAUACUGUGUAGAUCUCUGCUGAAACACAUUCUGAUUGCUACUGAUCUAGACAUAUCUUUUUUCUUAUAAGCUUAAGCCCGCAAGCUUCAGAAUUUAGCAUAAAAGACCAGCUGUCACCUGAUUUUGUUGUUCUUUUUUUUAGAGAAACAAUUCAAUUUUAGGGGAAAAAAAGGCAACUCAAUGUUAAAAUGCCAAAGAAAAGCUUCUCUGAAAUGUAAACAAAACCAAAAUGACCAUACCUUAAAACAGCACAUUUCAACAGGAGUUGAAGUGUUCCUCCCUUCUGUUUUCUCAAACCGAAGUGCUGACAAAAUCAGUAUGUUUUCUGAAGUGUUUCAUUUUGAUCAGAUUUGCAUGUUUUGGUGAAAUAUGGAUCCAGUGAAGCGAUCCUGGCUGGCUGAAUGUGUUGUUUCUUUUGGUUUAUGGCAUCUGCGAGCCUAUCAAAACUGUCCCAGUCUUCCAUGAAUGGAGAAAUGAUUCCAGUUAAGUCAAAAAGAAAGAAAGAGAGAAAGAGAGAAAGAGAGAAAGAAAGAAAGAAAGAAAGAAAGAAAGAAAGAAAGAAAGAAAGAAAGAAAGAAAGAAAGAAAGAAAGAAAGAAAGAGAAAAAGAAAAAGAAAAAGAAAAAGAAAAAGAAAAAGAAAAAGAAAAAGAAAAAGAAAAAGAAAAAGAAAAAGAAAAAGAAAGAAAAAGAAAAACCAACCCUGAAGUGUUGUCACUCUUAUCCAGAAAACCAGGCCCAAGUGAACAUUCAGAAAAAGGAUAGAAAUAGAUGGAAGAGAUGUCAUUCCUUGUGAAGAAGGGGGGAAGUUUAGGUUAGAUGUUAGGAAGAAAUUCUUUUCUCAGAGGUUGGUGAGGCACUGGUACAGGCUGCCUGGUGAGUUGUAGAUGCCCCAUCCCUGGAAGUGCUGGAGGCCAGGUUGGAUGGGGCCAUGUGCAGCCUGAUCUGGUGUGGAGCAACCCAGCCCACAGCAAACGGCUAGGAGAGGAUGAACUUCAAGGUCCCUGCCAACCUAAGACAUUAUGUCAUUCUAUGAUUCUUUGAUUCUGUGCAGUCACCUGUCUUUGCAUGAUGGAGAAUACCAAUCCUCAGCCAAAGACAUCCUCAUUCCUUUUAUAUUUCCCUCACAUUUCCCUGUACACAUUUGCUACUGACUUGAUGUGGCAAAAAUGCCCAUUUGCACAAGCUGUGAGUCUUCUAGGGACUCCAUCGCCUGGCUUAUCACUUUAACAUCUGAUGUCAACUCUACUUUAAAAUGCAGAGCUGAAACAAAGGAUGCCAAACUAAACCAUGCAAGUGUCCAUCUCCAGCUGAGGAGGGGACACGAAGAAAAGAAAUCUGUUGUCACCUCUGGAGAUGUGGUCCAUUUCCAAGCAAAAUCUGGGUACAAUGCAGCAGAAAGUCACCACGUGCCACGGAGUUGUUUCAGCCCUUAAAAAAAACCCAGAUUUGUUGAGGGUGACUCCUGUUUCCCCACUAGUACAUAAACAUUGUGUUUAGCUACACCAAUUCCCCAGGAGUGAUGAGCGUGCUGGCAGGUCAGGGGACCUGCUGUUGGGUUAUAUCAUUGUUAUGAGAGUCACACUGCUAAGAAGCUUUGAGUUGUACCCCAUGCUGAGAAUAAUCCAAAUAAUCUGCAACUCAAAACAUCCCUCAUCAGGGAUCACUGUGAACACAGGCAAUUUCAGCUGACCCGAUGUGCUAAACAUAAACAUGUCAAGAUCUCAAUAGUACCAGAACAUUUGUUUUAAAUAUCCUGUGUGAAAUUGGUGCCAAUGGACAACAUCAAUCGUUUGCCAGAUGUUCUUUUCUCUAAUUUUACUGCAGAGCACAUACAAGUAUGUGCUGGAAUUAACAUGAUGACUGGGGAGAACACAGUAGCCAACCCUUGGUUUAUUGCAGCAGUGCAAAAGACAGUAAUUUCCAGGAAGAGAGAUUACUCCUGGUUCAAAAGACUGUGAGAUAUGCAUGCAGCCUCUCAAGGGAUAUAUAUAUCUCAUGCAAACAAAUAACAUGAUCUAUGAGCCCUUUAAGGUUAAGUUUUGACAGUGGUAGAACAGGUGAGAGCUUGGACUGUAUAGCUCUCUUCUCAUGAGCUGGAUGUUGUUAUCCAGAGAAGAAAGCAAAGUGCACAUCACUAGUAUUGAGGCUAACCACAACCACAAGCUCAGAGCAAUCUACAAUCUACAGCAGAAACCCAGAGUGGUAAAACUGCAACUGGAAUGAGGCAUAGAGAUGAGUCAAGUACGAGGGUUGCUCCAAAAGUAAUGCCUCCUGUUUUAUUCCAUUGGCCCAUUAUGUCAGUAGCAGAUGAUGGCAGUAGGGACUGAACCUUCCCACCAAUAUUCUGUUACAUUUUGUUGCUGUGUGACAGAUGGCAGCAGAGGGGCAGUCUGACAAAAUGGUGUCUGACAUGGAAGUGUAUAUGAAACAAAGGUGAAAGAUAAGGAAAGCUGGGACCACAGAAAUUUAUCUGGUAAUUGCUGAGAUCUGUGUCCACGGCAAAUGUAUUCUGCACAGAAAGAGAGCGGAUGCACUGUUCCACAUCUACCAAAGCAUCAAAUGACGUUUUUCAGGGCAUUGCUGCUGUAACAUAUUGUGUAAAGAAACUAGAUCAGAAAUACUGAAACACAUAUAAAAAAAGAUAACGUGUCUUUCCAUCCACAUUGUCAAUAGAUUCAGAGCAGGAACAGUGCCAGAUUAAAGCAAAGCAAAUAUUUGCAGUAUAAUAUUUUAUUCAUCAGAAAUUCUUCAAGUUUUUGAUGGAUAUUUUUGGCUGAUACAGAAAUUCUUUAACUACAAAGUUUUAUUUGAGUGUUUUCAGAAACGCUGCUGAAUAUGAGUCUCUUAAGACUGAAACCUUCUUAAAAAAAAACAACAAAAACAAACAAACAAAAAAAACCCACAUAGAAACAGAGCAUUCGUUUUUCUAUACAUUUCCAUAAGUCUUUGGAGGUUUUUAGUGUGCAGUGGAUAAACUGAUGGAUUUAAAUGACACAGAUAUCCUCAGCGCAAAAUCUCAGAUCCUGGAGCUUUUAUUUACCAAAGGAAGCCAAACUCAAAACAUAUUUUGUUUACCUUUGGCCAUAUUUUCUUCAAGAUAUUACUUCAAAUGCAAGAAGGCAUGCCAUCUUAGGAAUAAUGUCUCUCUUUAUACAUCUUUAACAGAUUUCCUUCCUUCCUUCCUUCCUUCCUUCCUUCCUUCCUUCCUUCCUUCCUUCCUUCCUUCCUUCCUUCCUUCCUUCCUU
rnacentral:lncRNA from 1 species